AGCACGUUAUGGUGGGCGACUCUAAGGAGACUGCCGGUGACAACCGGAGGAAGGUGGGGGAUGACGUCAAGUCAUCAUGGCCCUUACGGCCUGGGCUACACACGUGCUACAAUGGUCGGUACAAAGGGUUGCCAAGCCGCGAGGUGGAGCUAAUCCCAUAAAACCGAUCGUAGUCCGGAUCGCAGUCUGCAACUCGACUGCGUGAAGUCGGAAUCGCUAGUAAUCGUGAAUCAGAAUGUCACGGUGAAUACGUUCCCGGGCCUU
rnacentral:rRNA from 1 species